rnacentral:rRNA from 1 species
UACGUAGGGUGCGAGCGUUAAUCGGAAUUACUGGGCGUAAAGCGUGCGCAGGCGGUUUUGUAAGCCAGAUGUGAAAUCCCCGGGCUUAACCUGGGAAUGGCAUUUGGGACUGGAAGGCUAGAGUACGGCAGAGGGGGGCGGAAUUCCACGUGUAGCAGUGAAAUGCGUAGAGAUGUGGAGGAACACCAAUGGCGAAGGCAGCCUUCUGGGCCAACACUGACGCUCAUGCACGAAAGCGUGGGGAGCAAACAGG